CCUACGGGCGGCAGCAGUGAGGAAUAUUGGUCAAUGGGCGAAAGCCUGAACCAGCCAAGUCGCGUGAAGGAUGACGGCCCUACGGGUUGUAAACUUCUUUUGUCAGGGAGCAAUUUAGUCCACGUGUGGUCUUAGCGAGAGUACCUGAAGAAAAGGCAUCGGCUAACUCCGUGCCAGCAGCGGCGGUAAUACGGAGGAUGCGAGCGUUCUCCGGAUUUAUUGGGUUUAAAGGGUGCUGAGGCGGAAUAUCAAGUCAGCGGUAAAGAUUCGGGGCUCAACCCCGUCGUGCCGUUGAAACUGAUGUUCUUGAGUGGGCGAGAAGUAGGCGGAAUGCGUGGUGUAGCGGUGAAAUGCAUAGAUAUCACGCAGAACUCCGAUUGCGAAGGCAGCAUACCGGCGCCCAACUGACGCUGAAGCACGAAAGCGUGGGUAUCGAACAGGAUUAGAUACCCGUGUAGUC
rnacentral:rRNA from 1 species